AUGAACGCUAGCUACAGGCUUAACACAUGCAAGUCGAGGGGCAGCAUGGUCUUAGCUUGCUAAGGCCGAUGGCGACCGGCGCACGGGUGAGUAACACGUAUCCAACCUGCCGUCUACUCUUGGACAGCCUUCUGAAAGGAAGAUUAAUACAAGAUGGCAUCAUGAGUCCGCAUGUUCACAUGAUUAAAGGUAUUCCGGUAGACGAUGGGGAUGCGUUCCAUUAGAUAGUAGGCGGGGUAACGGCCCACCUAGUCUUCGAUGGAUAGGGGUUCUGAGAGGAAGGUCCCCCACAUUGGAACUGAGACACGGUCCAAACUCCUACGGGAGGCAGCAGUGAGGAAUAUUGGUCAAUGGGCGAGAGCCUGAACCAGCCAAGUAGCGUGAAGGAUGACUGCCCUAUGGGUUGUAAACUUCUUUUAUAAAGGAAUAAAGUCGGGUAUGCAUACCCGUUUGCAUGUACUUUAUGAAUAAGGAUCGGCUAACUCCGUGCCAGCAGCCGCGGUAAUACGGAGGAUCCGAGCGUUAUCCGGAUUUAUUGGGUUUAAAGGGAGCGUAGAUGGAUGUUUAAGUCAGUUGUGAAAGUUUGCGGCUCAACCGUAAAAUUGCAGUUGAUACUGGAUAUCUUGAGUGCAGUUGAGGCAGGCGGAAUUCGUGGUGUAGCGGUGAAAUGCUUAGAUAUCACGAAGAACUCCGAUUGCGAAGGCAGCCUGCUAAGCUGCAACUGACAUUGAGGCUCGAAAGUGUGGGUAUCAAACAGGAUUAGAUACCCUGGUAGUCCACACGGUAAACGAUGAAUACUCGCUGUUUGCGAUAUACGGCAAGCGGCCAAGCGAAAGCGUUAAGUAUUCCACCUGGGGAGUACGCCGGCAACGGUGAAACUCAAAGGAAUUGACGGGGGCCCGCACAAGCAGCGGAGCAUGUGGUUUAAUUCGAUGCAACGCGAAGAACCUUACCUGCUCUUGACAUCCCGGUGACCGGCAUGUAAUGAUGCCUUUUCUUCGGAACACCGGUGACAGGUGGUGCAUGGUUGUCGUCAGCUCGUGUCGUGAGAUGUUGGGUUAAGUCCCGCAACGAGCGCAACCCUUGUUGUCAGUUACUAACAGGUCAUGCUGAGGACUCUGACAAGACUGCCAUCGUAAGAUGUGAGGAAGGUGGGGAUGACGUCAAAUCAGCACGGCCCUUACGUCCGGGGCUACACACGUGUUACAAUGGGGGGUACAGAGGGCCGCUACCACGCGAGUGGAUGCCAAUCCCCAAAACCUCUCUCAGUUCGGACUGGAGUCUGCAACCCGACUCCACGAAGCUGGAUUCGCUAGUAAUCGCGCAUCAGCCACGGCGCGGUGAAUACGUUCCCGGGCCUUGUACACACCGCCCGUCAAGCCAUGGGAGCCGGGGGUACCUGAAGUGCGUAACCGCGAGGAGCGCCCUAGGGUAAAACUGGUGACUGGGGCU
rnacentral:rRNA from 1 species